GAGGCCUCUAAAUUGUGCAUUUUGGCGGGAAAAUGGACGGAUCUUGGAAAAAGCUCGCGGAUCCUUUUUGUUCAUGAAUCCGACCCAAUGGAUAUCCAUUCACCCGAUUAACAAAUGAGUACACCAUACGUUUCAAACAUUCAGAAACCCUAAUCUUCCAGCCUCAAUCGCCGUUCUUCCAUCAGUCAAGCAAAUCAGAUGGUGAUCCAUCUUCGUUUCAUCCUUAGGGUUACAGUUCCUCCUCUGCAAGGGAUUCUCUUAUAGUCUUCCAUCGUCUUCAUACAUAAGAAAUCGUCACUUCUAAUGUCUUUCUCACCAGGGUUAUGGAAUUGGGAUUAUUCAUACAAUAAUAAGCUAGCUCAUAUUCAUAAGCUUAAGAAGACAGAAGACAUGAUCUUAAUGGUUCUUCAGAUAUUCACUGCUGGGCGCUACUGAAGAAUUUGAUCAAAUUUAUGAACCACUUGCUCUACAUCCUAUAAAUGAUCAGCAAAGAUAAAGGAGCAACAUGGAUACCGCCAAUCUCACAUUACAGUGCGGGGUUUGCCAGAUUGGUGUAAUUGGUCGAAAGGUCUUCUCGCCCAUUUGAAGUGGUUUUGUAGGGAAAAAGUAAUUUGCCUAUUAAAGUUGUUACAACAAGGUGUGAUUUUUGUUAUUAUAAAAUGUUACUUUACAUGUAUUAAGCUGUGAGAAUGGGUAUUAAAAACAAAAUGACACUUUUAAAGGCAAAUUAACUAUUCAGAUACAAAUUUUAUUUGUCUCUCUCUUGAUGGAUUCUAAGAAAGUUGCCUUUAGUUUAACAUCGUAACAAAAGCCACAAACUCAUUUUAAUUGAAAUAUGUGCCAGUUUAGUUUAAUAUGUAUAUGCAUAUACAUAUAUGUGCCAUUGAUUUUGAUAAUUUGUCUAUAUUUUAAUCCAUUUUGUUAUUAGAAUUAGUUGGUUACGCGCAACAAGUUGGUUCUGCAUUCGCAAAAGGUAUGUUUUUUCAUCAUGUUAUCUGUGGUGACUUAUGUUAAUUUUAUUAAAAGGUAUGUUUUUACAACAAAAACUACAUGAGUCUAAAACUGAAGUGGUGAUGCUCGAAUCUUGUGCUCUUAAUUUUGCUUCAUUUGACAUUUUUUUUCUACUAUUCUAAUUUUAACAUGUUGCUGAUGUUCUUUGAAUAUGUAUAUAAGUUCUUUGGGUGUUAUGUGUUUGGCAGUAUUGUUAGAUUAGACAUGUAUUUUAUUAAUUUUUAAUAUUAGCAUGUCUAUCUUGGGAAACAAGAAAAAAAACUUGCAUGUCUUCUGGGAUGCUUGCUUAAUAAUGGUUUUUACCCAUUGACUUGUGAAAAUUGAUAGUUUUUAUCGUUUUGUGUGUUCUAAUAGUCCAUUACUUACAUAAUUUUAGUCGUUUUGGUUGUCACUGUUGUUUGUGAAGUCGUUGAUUAGGUUUCACAUUACUGUGACUAAUAUUAUAAUUAUUAAAGCAUGUUGUACAACUUAUUCUUGCAUUCAUUUUCGGGCUUUUAGUGGACAUGUAAUUUAAUCACGAUGGGAUUGACAUUCCUUUAGGGGACUAUGAUGAUCAAAUGUUUUUUUGUAUAUUGUUGAGUAUUAGCAUGUUAUUUGACUUUCCAUUUACAUCUGAGUCGUUAAGUAUGCAGCCAUGGCGGAUUUGUGCUCUUUGUUUGAAGAUGAGGUAUUAUGUGUGUUGAUAGGGUAGUCGAUAUGGUGACGCUUUUUAGUGCUAUGCGUGUCAACCAAUGAAUUCAUGAACUGGUUGCAUUCUUGGACUUAACAACAUCUGUGUACAUGCCAAUUGGUUUCUCUAUGCAUUACUUUCAUAAUGGAACUAAUAAGUGAUCAUCACAUUUUAAACUCAUUGAGGUUUUCUAAUUAGAUGAUGAAUUCUUGAUUAUUGUUAUUAAUAUAUGAAUUGGCUUAUGGAUGUACAGGAUGAUAGGAAAAUUGUUGUGAAGAAGCUUUCAGAGACAUCAAAAUAGGGGAAUAGAGAAUUUACAAACUGCAGGCAGACUGAGGCGGCGUCUUCGUCUUCCACCGAAAUGGCGGUGGUGAAGGAAUCUGGUGGAUGUGAGUCGUAAGAACAAAGAACAGGAGGUUUGAUGAGGAGGUUCGAUCAUCUGAUCCAUAGUUCCCAUAGUCUUGGUACUAAGAAGAAUAUAGAAUGGCAAGAGAAGCUGGCUGUUGUAUAUUGAAGUUGCGACAAAGCUGCUCGAGGACAAUGUUGGGGCGCAAGUAAUGAAGUUGGCUGUUGUAUAUUGAGGUUGCGACAAAGCUGCUCGAGGACAAUGUUGCAGCGCCGGAAGACCCAUUGUUUUCAUGUUAAGAAAGACUUUCUUGUGAAUUGACACAUGUAGAGGUUGAUUCUAAAGAGUAUUAAAUGUUGCGUUCUAUGCUACGGAAGUAUAUCAAUUUGGUCAUAACUUGCAAAUCUAUAGGAACGAGAAGCUCACCUGAAAGCUCGCCGAAACUAAGGGACAUGCCUAAUGAGUCACUGGAAGAGGAGGUCCGGGCGUAAUGUCCGACAAAUCUGAAGAAACUGAGUACCAAGAAUCUAUGCAAAGCCAAAUUAACAUUAUUAAGGGGAUAAAGAGAUCAAAGUUUGAAGGAAUCAAGUAGAAUCUUGGACAAACAAAAAUUGGCAGACCAACUCUUUAUGGGUUGGCCGCAAAGGGAGCGUAUGGAGUUAGAAGAAAUGUUGAAGGAUGAACUUGAGCUCAUAAUGGCUUUUUCAUGUUGCCCCACCCUCAAUGAUAUAUGGAUGUCACUUUGUUUAUGAUUUACGAAGUGAAGGAUAUCAAAUUUUAGGUGUUUGCUAAAUUAAAGAGGACUUGCAUCUAUAACAUUGGAUGUGGCAAGGCGUGCUACACCAGUCAGACUGAGCUCAUGUUAAUUAUAGUAAAUUAUAAAUGUAACAUUAUUUGUCUUUUUCUUGAUAUUUUGUACACGGUUUAUAAAGAAAACUUCAUACCUAAUACCUAAUGAUGCAAUCCACUUUGUUA